GGGACUUAGGGGAGCAAUGGGUCAUUGUGUCUGGCUGUUAACCAGAUGGUUGGUGGUUCAAGCCCAUCCAGCGAUG